ensembl:miRNA Gm24587 predicted gene, 24587
UGUAUGUACAUGUGCAUGUGCAUGUGUGUGUGUGUGUAAGUACACACACAUGCACAUACAUACAAAUAAACAUGCAUACACACACAUAG